AUACGGAGGGUGCAAGCGUUACUCGGAAUCACUGGGCGUAAAGCGCGCGCAGGCGGCUUGAUAAGUUGGAUGUGAAAUCCCAGGGCUCAACCGUAGAACUGCAUCCAAAACUGUCAGGCUAGAGUGUGGGAGAGGAAGAUGGAAUUAGUUGUGUAGGGGUAAAAUCCGUAGAGAUAACUAGGAAUACCAAAAGCGAAGGCAAUCUUCUGGAACACUACUGACGCUGAGGCGCGAAGGCGUGGGGAGCAAACAGGAUUAGAAACCCUGGUAGUCC
rnacentral:rRNA from 1 species